ensembl:lncRNA
CUUAUACAUCUCAUCAUCCUGAUGUUUUUAAUGUAAGGUGUGUGUGUGUGUGUGUGUUGAACAGUUGUGUAACCCUCAGUCUAUAGUAGUACAGAAGUGCGUGUUUUGAGGCAUACCCAUUGUAGUGUAUGUGUUGUGUUGUACAUGCCGGUUUGAGUCAGUUCCUGGGUUUCUCGGUUCCUCUCUCCAGUUCUUGUAGUAAACAACCCAGCCAUGUGGGCAGGAUGUGAGCUGUGAUUGGCUGAAAGGCGAUUCGUAAGACUCACACCCUAAAAUCCCGACUUGUUUACGCCAGACUGGUGGCCAGGGUUGCCAGAUUGUUCUCCCAAACCCGGCUUCUUCUUCUUUGUUUUUAAACUUCAUUCCUGGAAAUAAAAACGUGUUGUUAUACUCGGGUAUAUUUCUGGGAGCAUUUUUGCUUGAUUAUUUUUCACUCAAUACUCAGCAUUCAUGUGUCAGAGCUACAGUUUGUUGUGCAUUAAGGAGGAAUUUCAUUUCUAGACUGAGAGUCAAAAGAAAAUCCCAUGCAAUUUGGCAACCCUGCGUGCAGGAGGCAUUGGCCACAAUGGCAAAGAAGGUAUUUUUGCAGAGUAGAUCAUCUAAAAAAGGAAGAGAAAUCUCAAGAACAAAUGUAAAUUUCACAGCAUAAUGGCAGAAUAAUGUGCACGCAUUUUCACUCACAAGUGCAUGCUUUAGUAAUAGUAGUAGUGCCACAGAAGUCCAGGUGCAAUACCAAUGCCACAAUGCCAUGUUUGCACUUUAAUCAUUAAUCAAGUGCAUGAGAAUUCCACUUUGUUUGGAUGUUCAGAUGAGCUGCAGUGAGAUGUGCAGAGCAGCAUGCAUGCUUGCAGGGGCAACAGGGAAGUGAUUACAUAACUGCUCCAUAGCAUAGCUCAGUGUGGUUUCUAAUUACACACACACCAUAAAUCCUUAAUCCGUAAACACAAAUCCAGCAACUCCACCCUCGCGCUCUUCUUUUACUCUCUUUAAAAGAGACAGAGAGAUAAGUUGCACGAAAAGCAACCAUUUAAAAAAAUGUUAUAUAGAUGACAACCCAUAGCUUUUCAUCGGUUAUGUAGGUUACUGUAGUGCAGCCUGUAAAUGAGUGCUCGUGACGUCAUGCAUGCACGUAACGGAGUUGUGUGUUUGUUUGUUUGUUGCAUGCAUAUUUUUUUUCUCUCUCUUGGAUCGCACAAGUGAUGGUGUUCUUUUUUUUUUUUGGUUAACCCUGCUGUGUUCUUGCAUGCACGCGCACACCCAGUGGACGACUCUUACGUGCGCGCUGAUGAGUAACUGCUGUGCAGUUGCACUGCGAAUAAAAGAACGUGUACGUGCAGAACGUGCAGAAGAGCACAUGGCUCCGCGAGCUCGCGCUGCACGUCGCAUCACAAGCUCCACCUCCCCGCCCCCCUUCACCGUGAGCUCCGGUAAAAACUACUUUUUAGCGCUUUAGCAUUAGCCUGCUAAUAACCUGAUGUACGUAAUAUGAACUCGAUGAUAAUUACAGUAAGACAAUGAAUGCCACAGUGGUGUACAGAGCACUUCAUUUAUACAUUGCGUGAAUAAUCAUGUGGACGUAUGAGGACGUAUGAGGACAUAUGACACCGAAAACGUUGUGACCCAGAAGAAUCGAGUCCGACAUGUGAUCUGAAGGUCUUCCGCAUGUGACUGUGAAAGUGUUAAUCAGAGCCUGGUAUGGCAGUGCAGUCUGGGACACCGGUUAAAAGGAAAUUGAAUAAUCAGUAAUCAAAUAAGGAAGUUCACGAACCACAGUUUUAGCAUCUUUCGUAUUACUUAGAAGCCUACAGAGGUCAGCGAUGUCGCAAUGAAGAAAUAACACCAUUUCAGUCAAUUCACUAACGUCAGAAAAGAGACCAAAAUUGCAAAGUAACUUGGAGGACAUCGCUAGCAAGACUUAAACAGAAUGUUUGCAGUAACAUCACCCUUGUAACAGCUCAUAAUUCCCACUAUGUUCCAGGAAAUAGUGGAAGAAAUCUAGAAACAUCAGCGUGGUACGUGAAUUCUUGCUCAACCUCAGCUACGUCACUCCAGUUCUCAACUAGAGAUGUGUACAGGACUGUUUUCAUAAUCUGUAAUAUUUUCUAAUGAGUUAAGAUUGGUUCUAUUUCCCAAAAAUAUAAACCAGCUUCAGAGAAACACCGGAGGACGUUAUAAAUGCAUCAUGCAGCACCACAUGCUCCCGUUGAUGAAUGUUGUCUUUGUCCUGCGCUGACAUGAAAUUUAAAAACCUCCAGUGAACGUGACUUUUUUAAAAAUUUUAUUUAUUUUUUUUUUUUGCGUCCUGAUGUACAGCUG